GACGGGGGAUGCGAGCGUUAUCCGGAAUGAUUGGGCGUAAAGGGUCCGCAGGUGCCCGGUCAGUCCGCUGUCAAAGCCUGGGGCUCAACCCUGGAGAGGCGGCGGAGACCACCGGGCUUGAGUCCGGUAGGGGCAGAGGGAAUUCCCGGUGGAGCGGUGAAAUGCGUAGAGAUCGGAAAGAACACCAACGGCGAAAGCAACUCUGCUGGGCCGACACUGACACUGAGAGACGAAAGCUAGGGGAGCGAAUGGG
rnacentral:rRNA from 1 species